GAAUGGAAUGAUCGAUCCAUUGAUUUUAAUGGAACUACUCAUUGUCAGCAAGGAUAUCAGCAUCUGACCGAAUCUGAAGAGGAGGAGAGGUUGGGGACUAGGAUGAGAAGAUGCAAGUUUCCUCUGGACCAGUGGAGAUUCCUCAGGAGGGGUAUUUUCAUUGAAGGAUUCCAUUCAUACAACAGGCA